rnacentral:rRNA from 1 species
UACGUAGGGUGCAAGCGUUGUUCGGAAUUACUGGGCGUAAAGGGCUCGUAGGCGGCCGACUAAGUCCGACGUGAAAUCCCUCGGCUUAACCGGGGAACUGCGUCCGAUACUGGUUGGCUUGAGUUUGGGAGAGGGAUGCGGAAUUCCAGGUGUAGCGGUGAAAUGCGUAGAUAUCUGGAGGAACACCGGUGGCGAAGGCGGCAUCCUGGACCAAUACUGACGCUCAUGUGCGAAAGCGUGGGGAGCAAACAGG